CUCUGAUCAUGGAGAUUACUCCCCUCACUA
rnacentral:tRNA from 1 species